rnacentral:rRNA from 1 species
UACGUAGGGUGCAAGCGUUGUCCGGAAUUAUUGGGCGUAAAGAGCUCGUAGGCGGCUUGUCGCGUCGACUGUGAAAACCCGGGGCUCAACUCCGGGCCUGCAGUCGAUACGGGCUGGCUUGAGUGCGGUAGGGGAGACUGGAAUUCCUGGUGUAGCGGUGAAAUGCGCAGAUAUCAGGAGGAACACCGGUGGCGAAGGCGGGUUUCUGGGCCGUAACUGACGCUGAGGAGCGAAAGCGUGGGGAGCGAACAGG